rnacentral:rRNA from 1 species
UGGGGGAUAUUGCACAAUGGGCGCAAACCUGAUGCAGCGACGCCGCGUGGGGGAUGAAGGCCUUCGGGUUGUAAACUUCUUUUGCUCUGAACAAGGCGCACUUUGGGGUGUGUUGAGUGUAGGGGUUGAUUAGCGCCGGCUAACUACGUGCCAGCAGCCGCGGUAAUACGUAGGGCGCGAGCGUUGUCCGGAAUUAUUGGGCGUAAAGGGCUUGUAGGUGGCUGGUUGCGUCUGUCGUGAAAGCUCAUGGCUUAACUGUGGGUUUGCGGUGGGUACGGGCUGGCUUGAGUGCAGUAGGGGAGGCUGGAAUUCCUGGUGUAGCGGUGGAAUGCGCAGAUAUCAGGAGGAAUACCGGUGGCGAAGGCGGGUCUCUGGGCUGUUACUGACACUGAGGAGCGAAAGCAUGGGGAGCGAACAGG